AAAAAAAACAUCUCUAAAUUUCCGUGUCCAACGUUUGACUGUCCGUUUUAUAUGAAAUUUUUUAUAAUUAGUAUUUUUAUUGAUGUUAGAUGAUAAAACGUGAUUAAUACUUUAUGCGUGACUUGUCUUUUUAAUUUUUUCAUAUUUUUUCAAAUAAGACGGAUGGUUAAAUGUUGGAAAUAAAAAUCCAGAGUUUGUCUUUUU
rfam:Oryza meridionalis cultivar OR44 (W2112) chromosome 6, whole genome shotgun sequence.